rnacentral:rRNA from 1 species
GACGAACGCUGGCGGCGUGCUUAACACAUGCAAGUCGAACGGUGAAGCGAGUGCUUGCACUCGUGGAUCAGUGGCGAACGGGUGAGUAACGCGUGAGUAACCUGCCCAUCACUCUGGGAUAAGCACUGGAAACGGUGUCUAAUACUGGAUACGACCAACCCUUGCAUGGGGUGUUGGUGGAAAGAUUUAUCGGUGAUGGAUGGACUCGCGGCCUAUCAGCUUGUUGGCGGGGUAAUGGCCCACCAAGGCGACGACGGGUAGCCGGCCUGAGAGGGUGACCGGCCACACUGGGACUGAGACACGGCCCAGACUCCUACGGGAGGCAGCAGUGGGGAAUAUUGCACAAUGGGCGAAAGCCUGAUGCAGCGACGCCGCGUGAGGGAUGACGGCCUUCGGGUUGUAAACCUCUUUCAGCAGGGAAGAAGCGAAAGUGACGGUACCUGCAGAAGAAGCACCGGCUAACUACGUG